CACGUAGGGUCCGAGCGUUGUCCGGAAUUAUUGGGCGUAAAGAGCUCGUAGGCGGUUUGUCGCGUCUGCCGUGAAAGUCCGGGGCUCAACUCCGGAUCUGCGGUGGGUACGGGCAGACUAGAGUGAUGUAGGGGAGACUGGAAUUCCUGGUGUAGCGGUGAAAUGCGCAGAUAUCAGGAGGAACACCGGUGGCGAAGGCGGGUCUCUGGGCCGUAACUGACGCUGAGGAGCGAAAGCGUGGGGAGCAAACAGG
rnacentral:rRNA from 1 species